UGGCGACCGGGUGAGUAACACGUGACCAACCUGCCUUCGAGUGGGGGAUAACUCCGGGAAACCGGGGCUAAUACCGCAUAACAUCUUUGGAAUGCAAAUUCCGUUGAUCAAGGGAGCAAUUCGCUUGAAGAGGGGGUCGCGGCUGAUUAGCUAGUUGGCGGGGUAAUGGCCCACCAAGGCGAAGAUCGGUAUCCGGCCUGAGAGGGCGCACGGACACACUGGAACUGAAACACGUCCAG
rnacentral:rRNA from 1 species